rnacentral:tRNA from 1 species
GAGGGUAUGUCUCAAAUGGUAGAGCACAUGCUCAACAUUCAUAAGGUCCUGGGUUCAAUCCCCAGUACCUCCU